ACUCUGACCAGCCAUGCCGCGUGCAGGAAGACAGCCCUCUGGGUCGUAAACUGCUUUUAUUCGGGAAUAAACCUCAUUACGUGUCGUGAGCUGAAUGUACCGAAGGAAUAAGGAUCGGCUAACUCCGUGCCAGCAGCCGCGGUAAUACGGAGGAUCCAAGCGUUAUCCGGAUUUAUUGGGUUUAAAGGGUGCGUAGGCGGCUUUUUAAGUCAGGGGUGAAAGACGGUAGCUCAACUAUCGAACUGCCUUUGAUACUGAAGAGCUUGAAUGGACUAGAGGUAGGCGGAAUGUGACAAGUAGCGGUGAAAUGCUUAGAUAUGUCACGGAACACCGAUUGCGAAGGCAGCUUACUAUGGUUUAAUUGACGCUGAUGCACGAAAGCGUGGGGAUCAAACAGGAUUAGAUACCCUGGUAGUCCACGCCCUAAACGAUGAAUACUCGCUGUUAGCGAUACACAGUUAGCGGCUAAGCGAAAGCGUUAAGUAUUCCACCUGGGAGAGUACGGUCGCAAGAUUGAAACUCAAAGGAAUUGACGGGGGGCCCGCACAAGCGGAGGAGCAUGUGGUUUAAUUCGAUGAUACGCGAGGAACCUUACCCGGGCUUGAAAGUUAGUGAAUCAUUUAGAGAUAGAUGA
rnacentral:rRNA from 1 species